rnacentral:rRNA from 1 species
CGCUGGCGGCGUGCCUAAUACAUGCAAGUCGAACGGUCUUUCUAUGGAAGCUUGCUUCCACUGAGAAGAUAGUGGCGAACGGGUGAGUAACACGUGGGUAACCUGCCCAUAAGAGGGGGAUAACAUCCGGAAACGGGUGCUAAUACCGCAUAGUUUUCUUGAUCGCAUGAUCGGGAAAGGAAAGACGGCCUUUGUGCUGUCGCUUAUGGAUGGACCCGCGGCGUAUUAGUUAGUUGGUGAGGUAACGGCUCACCAAGACGAUGAUACGUAGCCGACCUGAGAGGGUGAUCGGCCACAUUGGGACUGAGACACGGCCCAAACUCCUACGGGAGGCAGCAGUAGGGAAUCUUCCGCAAUGGACGAAAGUCUGACGGAGCAACGCCGCGUGAGUGAAGAAAAGGGUUUUCGGAUCGUAAAACUCUGUUGUCAGAGAAGAACAAGUUGGAGAGUAACUGCUCCAGCCUUGACGGUAUCUGACCAGAAAGCCACGGCUAACUACGUGCCAGCCGCAGC